AAACUAACAAGGAUUCCCCUAGUAGCGGCGAGUGAAGCGGGAAGAGCUCAAAUUUGUAAUCUGGCGUCUUUCAGGCGUCCGAGUUGUAAUCUAUAGAAGUGUUUUCCGUGCUGGACCAUGUCCAAGUCCCUUGGAACAGGGUAUCAAAGAGGGUGACAAUCCCGUACUUGAUAUGGCCACCAGUGCUCUGUGAUACACUUUCUACGAGUCGAGUUGUUUGGGAAUGCAGCUCAAAAUGGGUGGUAAAUUCCAUCUAAAGCUAAAUAUUGGCGAGAGACCGAUAGCGAACAAGUACCGUGAGGGAAAGAUGAAAAGCACUUUGGAAAGAGAGUUAAACAGUACGUGAAAUUGUUGAAAGGGAAACGAUUGAAGUCAGUCGUGUUCAUUGGACUCAGCCGGUUCUUCCGGUCUAUUUCCUUUGAACGGGUCAACAUCAGUUUUGUCCGGUGGAUAAAGGCAGAGAGAAAGUGGCUCCCUCGGGAGUGUUAUAGCUUUUUGUCACAUACACUGGAGGAGACUGAGGACUGCAGCUCGCCUUUUGGCCGGGGUCGCCCACGUCGAGCU
rnacentral:rRNA from 1 species